UCAUAAUAAAACUAAAAAAAAUUUAAAAAUAAAUUAUAUCUAAAAAAGAUAUUUAUUAUUUAUUAAAUAAAAAAAAUUACAUUACAAAUUUGAAUUCAUAAAAAAAAAUCCCGUACGAAUGCACGGGGUAAAAUCUAGUUUAGGUUUAAAUAUGUUUAAAACUUUUUAAUUAGAGAGAUGUACGAUUUUAACUUUCAAAUUAGGGGGAUUUAGAUCGAGGUUGAAAGUUUGGGUGGAUAUGUUACUAUAUGGUACUUCAGAGGGGGAAAUACGUCGUUUUUCCUAAAAGUUAAGACAUCAUCCACGUGUCAACCUAAGAUCUCAUGCAAGCAAACUCAUCUUCUACUUCGGGAUAUCCGCAGCUGAAAAUCCUCUGCCACCCAAAACAGCCGUGGAACCACCUUAUGACGAGCUAAGCUUGCCAAGAGAAGUGCACCUCCAUGAAACUUGAUCGAUCAGUUCAGAAAUUUUCACUUCUUCGUAAAAUCACCACCACCAAUCAUCACAAACUCAAGACACAUAUCACCCUUUGCCUUAAAAGCAUUUUUUAAUAGGGGACCCAAAGAAAUCAAAAGAUCCCAGCCAAAAGAGGAUGAUACCAAAGUUGAAGAAUAAGAAUUCCAACACUUACCACCAGAUCUUACAUCGCCGCCUCAUCGAUUAGAAGAACCCAUCCACAGAGGAGAUAAGACUAAAAUUAUCCAAACAAACCGGAAAAUCCUUUACUUUAAAACUAUGAUUCUUCUACCAUUUUGAGAUCCUUCAUUCCACUAAAGAUUAGUGAAGGAUUUUAUUCACAUAAGUAAAAAAAUCAAUGACUAAAGAUAGAAAAAGAAUUCAAUAGAUGGAUGAGAAAAGAUCCAAUCGAGUCAGAAUUUAUUAUCCGUUAAAACGGAAGGUAAAAAAAGCCAAAAAGAAAGUUUUGAUGAUAAGUUUUGAUGAUGAUCUAAUUGUUAAUAAUUUAAUACAAAAAGGGUCUUUAAUAUAUAUAUAUAUAUAUAUACAUUUUUUUAGUUAU
rnacentral:lncRNA from 1 species